UGGGAAUGAUGGUUCGAUGCUGUCGAGCAUAUGAAGAAGUGUGUGAAGGUGAUGUGGGCAAAGUCAUCAAGCUGGACAGAGAUGGAUUGCAUGACCUCAAUGUGCAGUGUGAUUGGCAGCAGAAAGGGGGUACUUAGUGGGUUAGCUAUAUUCACGUUGAACUCAUAGGUUAUCCCCCACCGAGUUCUUCUUCUCACAUCAAGAUUGGUGAUAAAGUAUGGGUCAAAGCUUCCGUAACCACACCAAAAUACAAGUGGGGAUCCGUUACUCAUCAAAGUGUGGGGCUCGUGAAAGGGCAGUCUGCAGUCUUCUGUGGCCGUUCCGGAAAGCAGCUGAAGCUCUGUCACAGCAGUCAGCCUGGAAUGCUGCUAGACAGCUGGUCGCGGAUGGUGAAGAGUCUGAAUGUGUCGUCCUCUGUGAACCAGGCCUCUCGUCUCAUUGAUGGCAGUGAGCCCUGUUGGCAAUCAUCUGGAUCCCAAGGGAAGCAUUGGAUUCGUUUGGAGAUUUUCCCAGAUGUUCUUGUUCAUAGAUUAAAAAUGAUAGUAGAUCCUGCAGACAGUAGCUACAUGCCAUCCCUGGUCGUG